rnacentral:rRNA from 1 species
GACAUCUCACCAGGAGCGACAGCCGUAUUAUAGGCAGGGGUGAGAACCUGCUUGACAAGCUGAGAGGAGGUGCAUGGCCGCCGUCAGCUCGUACCGUGAGGCGUCCUGUUAAGUCAGGCAACGAGCGAGACCCAA